rnacentral:lncRNA from 1 species
UCUAAUGUGGAUAAACUGGACAAACGAGGCACCAUCUUCUGAAGUUUGGACAAGCUAGGAUGUCCUAAACGACUGUGAAGUAGGUCGGGAGGAUCUGCAGCUAGACAGGCCUUAGAGGAUGAUAGUGAGUUAAGGUAAUAGAGUCCGUCUGAUUCAAGUCCUGUUCCAAUCGUCUGUCCCGUACUGGGGUCCUGCAUAAUAAAAGAGUCAUCAAUAAAAUAUAUUCCGCAAUGGGGGGCAAGAAUCAAACGACUAACAGAUGCAAGAUUAAAAGGACAGCCAGGGACAUAAGAGGAUCUGCAACUAGAUAGGCCUUAGAGGAUGUUAGUGAGUUAAGGUAGUAGAGUCCGUCUGAUUCAAGCCCUAUUCCAAUCGUCUGUCCCGUACUGCGGUCCUGCAUAAUAAAAGAGUCAUCAAUAAAAUAUAUUCCGCAAUGGGGGGCACGAGUCAAACGACUAACAGAUGCAAGAUUAAUUGGACAGCCAGGGACAUAAAGAACGGAAUCUAGAGUGACAGAGGGUAGAAGAUUCGCUUGUCCAACUCCUUUUUCUUUAGUUUGAGACCCAUUGACUAAAGUAACGUUGGGAAGAAACUGUAAAUAUGCAAUAUU